rnacentral:rRNA from 1 species
CCCUUAGAUGUUCUGGGCCGCACGCGCGCUACACUGAUGCAUUCAACGAGCCUAUCCUUGACCGACAGGUCCGGGUAAUCUUUGAAUCUGCAUCGUGACGGGGAUAGAUUAUUGCAAUUAUUAAUCUUCAACGAGGAAUGCCUAGUAGGCGCAAGUCAUCAGCUUGCGUCGAUUACGUCCCUGCCCUUUGUACACACCGCCUGUCGCUCCUACCGAUUGGGUGUGCUGGUGAAAUGUUCGGAUCGGCCGUUUGUCGCGGUUUCCGCGGCUCGUGGCUGAGAAGUUCAUUAAACCCUCCCACCUAGAGGAAGGAGAAGUCGUAACA